rnacentral:rRNA from 1 species
CAGGGGGAUAAUCGGGAGAAAUCCCGUCUAAUACCGCGUAAUGCCGCGGGGCUGCAUGGCCCUGCGGCCAAAGGGAGCGAUUCCGGCAACGGAUGGGCAUGCGUGACAUUAGCUAGUUGGCGGGGCAACGGCCCACCAAGGCGACGAUGUCUAGGGGUUCUGAGAGGAAGGUCCCCCACACUGGUACUGAGACACGGACCAGACUCCUACGGGAGGCAGCAGUGAGGAAUAUUGGUCAAUGGGCGCGAGCCUGAACCAGCCAAGUCGCGUGAGGGAUGACGGCCCUACGGGUUGUAAACCUCUUUUGUCGGGGAGCAAAUUCCGCCACGUGUGGCGGAGUCGAGAGUACCCGAAGAAAAAGCAUCGGCUAACUCCGUGCCAGCAGCCGCGGUAAUACGGAGGAUGCGAGCGUUAUCCGGAUUUAUUGGGUUUAAAGGGUGCGUAGGCGGACUGUCAAGUCAGCGGUAAAAUACGGGGGCUCAACCUCCGCCCGCCGUUGAAACUGACGGUCUUGAGUGGGCGAGAAGUAUGCGGAAUGCGUGGUGUAGCGGUGAAAUGCAUAGAUAUCACGCAGAACUCCGAUUGCGAAGGCAGCAUACCGGCGCCCGACUGACGCUGAAGCACGAAAGCGUGGGUAUCGAACAGGAUUAGAUACCCUGGUAGUCCACGCAGUAAACGAU